rnacentral:sRNA from 1 species
ACUUUACAUGCUAUGAGUUUUUAUUGGUACAUUUAUAUGUUAUUUGCCUUUAUAUACAUUGUUUCUUCAGGAAAUCUCAUUGUUUGUGUAUCCGUCCAGUCAACUCACGCAUGCUUUGUUUUGAACUUUUAUUGAUGUCCCCCGAGACAGCAACUAUUUCUCGAGGCAAAGAUUUUAUAGGUAUUUUGAAUAUACGAACAUGUGCUCCUUAAUCAAAUGUAUGGUGUAUUGUAUCGUGUUAUCAAGUUUGGGUUGUAGAUUCAAGAAUUCUCAGAUUGUAAUUAUAUUCUUUAAACAUGAACAUUUACUGAAAGUGCUUGUGAAGUUGUGAAGAUUUUGUUGGUUGUAAGAGACACGCCCGACUUAAGUGAGAUCUGUUUUCCGUUAUUUACAUAUUUCUGAUCAUCUUUGACUUGUUUUUGGCUGUGAUAGCUUCGAGAUUUUUUGUUACUUCAGCAAUGAUUUAAUGAAAUGUAUUUCAUUUUUGUAUUGUCUUUAAGAGAUGUAUUUAUUCUAACAAUUGCUUGAUGCAGAUAUAGUAGUUAUAAUAAUAAAUUCUACAGAUAGAC